GACGAACGCUGGCGGCGUGCCUAACACAUGCAAGUCGAGCGAGGAAUGGGAGAUAGCUUGCUAACUCCUGUUUCUAGCGGCGGACGGGUGAGUAACGCGUGAGCAACCUGCCUUUAUCAGGGGGAUAACGCAUCGAAAGAUGUGCUAAUACCGCGUAAGACCACAGCCUCACAUGGGGCAGGGGUCAAAGGAGGAAUCCGGAUAAAGAUGGGCUCGCGUCCGAUUAGCUAGUUGGUGAGAUAACAGCCCACCAAGGCGACGAUCGGUAGCCGACCUGAGAGGGUGAUCGGCCACAUUGGAACUGAGAGACGGUCCAGACUCCUACGGGAGGCAGCAGUGGGGAAUAUUGGGCAAUGGGCGAAAGCCUGACCCAGCAACGCCGCGUGAGGGAAGAAGGGUUUCGGCUCGUAAACCUCUGUCCUAUGGGACGAAGGAAGUGACGGUACCAUAGGAGGAAGC
rnacentral:rRNA from 1 species